rnacentral:misc_RNA from 1 species
UUUCCGUAGGUGAACCUGCGGAAGGAUCAUUAAUGAGUUGUCAUGGGGUUCGAUGCUGGCAGCCAAUUUUUGGAUGCAUGUGCUUGCCCUAACAAUCAUCUUCCAAACACCUGUGCACAUUUUUGAGGGAGUCUUGAGUUGGUUGCCGCUCUUGGGUGAUUUUCUCACAUUCCCUUAAAUCAUUAUACGCUAUUAACAAUGUUGAACGUGCUCUGUGCCGCAAGGCUAUUAAUAUAAUACAACUUUUAACAACGGAUCUCUUGGUUCUC